GCAGGUGACACGUUUCUCGAGGAAAAAAAUAUAACACAUAACCAACAAGAACUCCACAGCUAAGCACACUCAGUCUAGAGUAGCACUAGGAUGGGUGACCACCUAGGAAGUCCUAGUGUUUACAUGCC
rnacentral:rRNA from 1 species